rnacentral:rRNA from 1 species
UGAACGCUGACAGAAUGCUUAACACAUGCAAGUCUACUUGAACUUCGGUUUGGGUGGCGGACGGGUGAGUAACGCGUAAAGAACUUGCCUCACAGUUAGGGACAACAUUUGGAAACGAAUGCUAAUACCUGAUAUUAUGAUUUUAGGGCAUCCUAAGAUUAUGAAAGCUAUAUGCGCUGUGAGAGAGCUUUGCGUCCCAUUAGCUAGUUGGAGAGGUAACGGCUCACCAAGGCGAUGAUGGGUAGCCGGCCUGAGAGGGUGAACGGCCACAAGGGGACUGAGACACGGCCCUUACUCCUA